rnacentral:misc_RNA from 1 species
AAGUCGUAACAAGGUUUCCGUAGGUGAACCUGCGGAAGGAUCAUCAUUGAAAAAAAUGGUUUUAUAUAAACUCAAGCCAAGGAAUUUAAUUUUUUUUGGCUUGCAAACAACAUAGAUACCCAAAAAGAAAGUUUCUCUUUUUUUGGUUGAAAAAAAAAAGGAGGGGAAAGGAAAGAUUUUCCCUUUCCUUCUUUUUUUUUUAUUCGAUCGGGAAAAAAGGAAACGAAAUUUUUACAAAAAUUGGUGGUUGCCUGAUAUUAAAAGUGUUUUGGAAAAGGAUGAAUAAAUGAAAAACAACUUUCAACAACGGAUCUCUUGGCUCUCA